rnacentral:lncRNA from 1 species
AACAAACUAACAUUUAUCUCAAUAAUUAGGCAUCAACAUAGCAAUUAUAAAGCCAGGUUGUAAUGCAUGGAGCAAGAAAAUUCAAGUUCCAAGUGGAACAAUGCACAUAAUCCACAUUAAAGCGUAGACUUGGCAAAUGUAAAGAAGAAUCCAUCAAAUGUUCGUUGAUAAAGGAUAUUCCAUAAAGAUGGAAAAAAAGGGGAAACUGAAACUAUUAAAAUACUAUACAUCAACCCGAGAGUUGGAUCGUGUCCUGCUCCAACAAAUCUCACAUCAUAAAGAACAGCGAAGGUAAGACAAAUAAACAGGAAGAAAAUAGACAAUAAGACAUUGCUAAGAAUAAUUUAAUGGAUUUAAAAACUGAACCAAAGAGAGGAGGCAGAAAUUACAGUUGUUUUUAAAUUUUUUCUGGUGGCAUGAUUUUUGUUCAGCGUCUGAAUCGGUCCCCAUUUUGAGAUUGCUUUUACCCACAUUUGUAAGAAGUAUUGACAUCAUUGGUUUGGUGGCCACUGUAACGACAUUUGCCUGUUGUCCUUUCUCAUCUUCCACAGGAUCAUAAGAAGACUACAAGCAAAAGCAAGCAUUUAUCAAAUAAGCAGACUACAAGUAAAAUCACAUUACGUUAUCCACAUAAACAGGAAAAGAUGCAUUUAAC